rnacentral:rRNA from 1 species
UGCAGUGGCUGUCGUCAGCUCGUGUCGUGAGGUGUUGGGUUAAGUCCCGUAACGAGCGCAACCCUUGUCCUUAGUUACCAGCACGUUAUGGUGGGCACUCUAAGGAGACUGCCGGUGACAAACCGGAGGAAGGUGGGGAUGACGUCAAGUCAUCAUGGCCCUUACGGCCUGGGCUACACACGUGCUACAAUGGUCGGUACAAAGGGUUGCCAAGCCGCGAGGUGGAGCUAAUCCCAUAAAACCGAUCGUAGUCCGGAUCGCAGUCUGCAACUCGACUGCGUGAAGUCGGAAUCGCUAGUAAUCGUGAAUCAGAAUGUCACGGUGAAUACGUUCCCGGGCCUU